UGAGUUCCACGCACCACGAGCCCGGCCAUGGCGGCCAGGACGCUGCGGGCGCGCGGGACGGAGCGCGGGGGCGCGGCGGCAGCAGCGGGGAGCGCGGCAGGGGAGCGCGGCGGGCGCACAGUUCCGCACUGGGCAGUCAGCUGACCCGGCGGAAGCCGGAGGCGCGGGCUAGCCUCGGGGACCUCAGCUCCGCCGCUCGCCGCCGCCGCCCCUCGGCCCGGUCUCCGCGCAGGAGGAAGUGAGCCCGGACCCAGCCAGCACUCUGCCCUCCGCAGCUGCCUUUCAGCUCAGCUUUCCUAGAAGGGCUUUGACAGAUGGAAGAGGACUUGUGGAAACAGGCCCAAGCUGACUCAAAGAUGAGAUUGGAGAACGGCUCUCCCUUCCCCCACCAGAAGGGGGUUACUGAAGUUCUGGAGGCUGGGAAGCUGAAGAUCAUGGCACCCACGAUUUGGUGUGUGGUGAGGGCCCAUUUUCUGGUUCCCAGACAACGGCCUUCUUCCUGUGUCCUCAAAUGGUAGGAGGGACAAGCUAGCUCCUGUGGGCCUCAUUUGUAACAGCACUAAUCCCAUUCCUGAGGGCUCCACGCCAAUGAUCUAAUCACCCCCCACAAGGCUCCACCUAAGACCUUGGAGGUUAUGAUUUCAACAUAUGAAUUUGGGAGGGACACAAAUGUUCAGACCGUAGCAGAAGUAAUUUCCUGAAUGUUGUUGGGGGAGGACACCAGCAGAAACAAACUGGAUUCACCUGUCCUUACUCCUCAGCUUUUGGAGUUAGUCUUCAGAAUAGAAGAACAAGGAGAAGGAGGAGGGGAAAGGAGAAUAGAAGGAACAGAAGGAGGAAGGGGGGAAGGGAGAAAGGUAAAAGGAAAAGAAAAAGAAUCUGUGUCCCUGGACCAAGGAAGAUUGGAAGCCGGGAGGGGGAACAUCCUUCUACCUCCUUAUCACUGUUGCCAACAAAAAGGAAGAUUAAACAGAAAUAGUAAAGUUCCUCCAUAAUGUAGCCCUCCCUCGGGGAGGGGAGAGAGCAAAAAACAAAACAAAACAAAAAAAACACUGAGAUAAGACUGACCUAGGAGUUAGACAAAUAAUUCCUCCGGAAUACAAAGACUUUACAAGGGUGAACAUAGCAGACGAGUCCUGUAGGGGCUUCGUCCUGAACACAGCUCUUUCUGCCCCAGCCCCAGGAGCACUGAGGUAAAAUAUGGGCUCAUGCAGUCACGGUCCUCUCACCCCACUCCAUGACUCAUUGAAAGUGAGCUGCUAGCUUCCUAUCCUGCCCAUCUUACUUCACAGCCGCUGUGCCCCAGCUUCUGGCCUUGUGCUAGGCACUAGGGACAUCCCUGACUAAUACUGUUCAGGAGAGACGCUCAGACUUGUGCACAGACAUUCACAGCACUGUGUCAGCAAGAAGUGCUGUCAUUGUGAUCCUGUUUUCUGAACCCCAAAUUGAAGCACGUAGCCCAGCUUGUACAAGUGCACUCAGGAGGACCACAAAACAGAAAGUUCAAAUCCAACCUAUGCUGACCACCCUGAGCCUGUGAAUUCUGGAGCUCUGACGGGCACAUAGAGAGCAACAAGGUUCAACUCAUACAACUGGACAUUCUCUUAUCGCCCUUGAUGAAGAGGGCAAUAUUUUAUUCCUAUUGUCAUCAUUGUUAUUAUUAUUCUGCUUUGGCAGAAGAGGCCCUUUGCCUUAGAGUCCUUCCUCCAUCACAUUCCUGGGGACAAAAAGGAAGAUCCUGUUUAUUUCCAAUCAAGGGAGUUGAUUCUGGGGUCGGCCAGAACCAGUGAAACAGGAACUGAUUCCUUAAAUCUUCCAACUGUGCAUUAGCAGCUGAGAGAAGAACAGGGCCAGUUAACCAAGUUUUGUUAGCAUUCCUAACUAUCCUUAGCUGUAUUUCUCUUCAGCCUGGCCUCAUUUCUUUCAGGCCCAGCCCCCGGGCAGGUUAAGAUGGUUGCUGUAAUUAAUCAUGCCGUGGGCCCUAAUUCAGACUCACCACAUUCAAAUUUCAAUUUAAAAAAAAAAAGGCGGGGUGUCUACUUAAGAAAUGCUCCGCUUAUGAAAUGCUCUUUGUUGCCGAAGCAGCCCCCUUUCAGCCUAAAGGAGAAAGUCUAGGAAGUGCAGGAAAGAAGAAAGGUUUCCAGGGCCCUCUUCAAAGUACUUGCACAUAUGUGAGGGGACUGAGGAUGAUCUGUGCUCCAAAGCCCCUCCAGUAUUUCCCAAUCAGAACAAACUGAAUUUUUAAAAAUAUAUAUUAAAUACCAUCAUAAUAUCUAGGAUGAGUGUUCAUUCCACAAAUGUUAAUUUAUUAUUCUCAGUGCCUCUAGUUUUCCUUCUCUUUUUUUUUAUUUUUAUUUUUUUGAGACAGGGUCCCAGGCUGGAGGGUAGUGGCGCAAUCAUAGCUCACCACAGCCUCGACCCCAGGGCUCAGGUGAUCCUCCUGCCUCACCCUCCCAAGUAGCUGGGACUACAGGCACUCACCACCACACCUGGCUAAUUUUUUUGUAUUUUUUGUAGAGAUGGGAUUUUGUCAUGUUGGCCAGGCUGGUCUUGAAUUCCUGGGGUCAAGCGACCUACCCACCUCAGCCUCCCAAAGUACUGGGGUUAUGGGCAUGAGUCACCGCACAUGGCUGUUUUCCUUCUCUUUAGGUCUUAAAAGGUUUUGUCAUUAUUUCUCUGUGAAAAUGCAAACAAUAGGACUGAGCAUGGUGGCUCAUACCUGUAAUCUAGCACUGAGACCAGCCUGGGCAACAUAGUAAGAUUCUCUUGCUAGAAAAAUAAAAAUAAAGUAAAAUGCAAACAUUAGUUGGCUGUGGAGAAUGGAGUGGGUUUGAGGAAGGUGGGAGUGGGAAAGGAGCUUCUGCUUUUCACUCCAUUUCUUCUGUGGUUUUGGUAACAUGCGUAUACUACUUUUAUAAUUAAAAACAAAAAAGGAGGAGAUUGGCACAGAAUAGAGAAUUUACCAUGAAAACUACUAUCUGCUAAUCUCUUAGUACUAUUUUAACAAAUCCUGAAAACAGCAAUGAGAAACAAAUCUUAUUUCCCAUUUUACCUGGAACUCGCCGCAACUCCAAGUCCUUGGCUGGGCAUGGGAGGCAAGUCAUCGCUGACUUGGAGGAGGGGGGCUCACGUUGGACCUUCAAGAGGGAAAGAGAACCCACCCAACUGUCUAUUUCCAGUGGGAGCACCUUUCCAGAAUCCCAGCUUGACUUGGAGAGGUUCUGCCACUUGGAAGUUGGGGAAGGGUUCCUCCCACCCUCAAUUAAAAUACAUAGAACUUGGUAGUCAGUUCAUUAAGGUGGUCCCCUAGUAUCUGUAUUUUUCUCAAGUACUCCCAAAAUAAUUUGGAUUUAUGAUCAUCCAAAACUCACUGCUUUAGAAAUCAUCUACUCCAAUUACUGAUGAGGGAAACUGAGGCUUAAAGGGCAGAAGGGACUUGCCCAAGGUCACCCAGCAAAUAAGCAGGUGACCCCAGGCCAGAAAAGAAAACAGGACUCCUCCUAUGUCCCACUAAAAACAGGAUAAGGAGGCUGAGAGGAGCACCUGAAAGAUGCCAUUUCACAUCUAAUCACUUCUUGUCACGUUGCAACCAUUUUCCUCAUAUGGAGCCUCACGCUGAUAGAUCAGAAAUAACAUUUUGAAAGUUAUGUCUGCAAGGAAAUGGCUAUUAAUGUUCUUCCUCUCCUUUUAGAGCAUCAAGGAAUACAUAUUAAUUUUCUCUCUACUUACAUUGCCUAUUUGCAAAUUGUAUUCACUACUCAGUGCUCCAAUUUGUCCCACCCCUGAAGAGAUUAUGAUGAAUAAAUGUGUUCCUGGAAAUAAAAAAUUUGUCCCUGAGAUUUAUUUUUAUAAUUAUUUACAGGGAUUAUUUUAGAAUAUAUGGGGGGGCAAUAAUGUGCACAUAAGGGUUCCGGUGUGACUUACCAGUAUUAAUUCUGAGUCUCUUCCCACUUCUCCGAAAGAAGCCCAGGCUCUCUUCGCAGCUGUGAACCCGGGGCAAAGCAAGUGUCAAGUGCACCUGGCACCACCAGUGCC
rnacentral:lncRNA from 1 species